rnacentral:rRNA from 1 species
CCUACGGGGGGCAGCAGUGGGGAAUAUUGCACAAUGGGGGAAACCCUGAUGCAGCGACGCCGCGUGAGUGAAGAAGUAUUUCGGUACGUAAAGCUCUAUCAGCAGGGAAGAAAAUGACGGUACCUGACUAAGAAGCCCCGGCUAACUACGUGCCACCAGCCGCGGUAAUACGUAGGGGGCAAGCGUUAUCCGGAUGUACUGGGUGUAAAGGGAGCGUAGACGGCAGCGCAAGUCUGGAGUGAAAUCCCAUGGCUUAACCAUGGAACUGCUUUGGAAACUGUGCAGCUAGAGUGCAGGAGAGGUAAGCGGAAUUCCUAGUGUAGCGGUGAAAUGCGUAGAUAGUAGGAGGAACACCAGUGGCGAAGGCGGCUUACUGGACUGUAACUGACGUUGAGGCUCGAAAGCGUGGGGAGCAAACAGGAUUAGAUACCCCUGUAGUC